GGUUUCCUUAGUUAAUCUCUUCCCAAAGGAAACAGCUUGAUAUAGAAGACACAGACGUUGGAGUUAUACAGACUGACUUCUCAACUGAACAGUGCGUCCCUGUGAGCUGUGUAACCCUGGGAUGGAAGCAAAAGUGCAUCACCAUCUGGCAGAAGGCCAUACUAUUCAGAAGCCUCCAAGUGUCCGUGAGUCCCAUGACCAUUUGGAGAAGACAAACACAGG
rnacentral:lncRNA from 1 species